AGCGGUGUAGCUCAGUUGGUUAGAGCAACGGCUUCAUAAGCCGUGUGUCGUCGGUUCGAGUCCGACCACCGCUACCA
rnacentral:tRNA from 1 species